GGUACGGGGGGCAAGCGUUGUUCGGAAUUACUGGGCGUAAAGGGCUCGUAGGCGGCCAACUAAGUCAGACGUGAAAUCCCUCGGCUUAACCGGGGAACUGCGUCUGAUAAUGGAUGGCUUGAGUGUGGGAGAGGGAUGCGGAAUUCCAGGUGUAGCGGUGAAAUGCGUAGAUAUCUGGAGGAACACCGGUGGCGAAGGCGACAUCCUGGACCGGUAUUGACGCUGAGGCGCGAAAGCCAGGGGAGCAAACGGGG
rnacentral:rRNA from 1 species